AUGGGGGCAUUGUUUUUGGAGCAGCGGCUGGAUGGAGGAGACAAGUGGUGGAGCGGUUUUUCAUUUACCACAUCAAAGAUGGCGGAUCUCGGCGGCGUGGUGCAAUGGGGAUUCGAUGUCCGAUGCAAGGAGAUGGACUCGCGCAGGAGGAGGACGCUGUCUGGCGUCAUGGUGGCGUCGAUGGCAGAGAGGCCUAGCAAGGUCGGUGCAUUAGUUUUUGCUCUGAAGAUGGAUUGGUGGAAGAUGGCGGCGACAACACAUGAGAGUGCGUCAGACCGGUGUAUACCCCAAACCCAGUAUGUGGCUUGGUUGGGGCCUCCGGCAUUAGAUGUUAGGCAUUUGUGCGAUGUCUGUUUGGUAUUAGGCUCGGACUAUCGGCACACCUUCAUCAAGUGGAUAGAAAUAGUGACAUAUGUUGCUAGGAUGGUGGCUUCAGAAUAUCUGAUGUACUACUUUGUAAGGUCUUUGUGA
rnacentral:rRNA from 1 species